rnacentral:rRNA from 1 species
GACGAACGCUGGCGGCGCGCCUAACACAUGCAAGUCGAGCGGAGAUAUACGAAGAGUAAUCCGAGUAUAUCUUAGCGGCGGACGGGUGAGUAACGCGUGAGUGACCUGCCUCUUACAGGGGAAUAACGUGCCGAAAGGCACACUAAUACCGCAUAAGACCACGAAACCGCAUGGUUAUGAGGUCAAAGGAGCAAUCCGGUAAGAGAUGGGCUCGCGUCCGAUUAGAUAGUUGGUGAGGUAACGGCCCACCAAGUCGACGAUCGGUAGCCGACCUGAGAGGGUGAUCGGCCACACUUGGAACUGAGAGACGGUCCAAACUCCUACGGGAGGCAGCAGUGGGAAUAUUGGGCAAUGGGGGAAACCCUGACCCAGCGACGCCGCGUGAGGGAAGAAGGUUUUCGGAUUGUAAACCUCUGUUCUUGGUGAAGAGGGGAAGACGGUAGCCAAGGAGAAGCCCCGGCUAACUACGUG